rnacentral:tRNA from 1 species
GCGCGCGUAGCUCAAUUGGUAGAGCAUUCGACUUAUACUCGAGCGGUUCUAGGUUCAAGUCCUAGCGCGCGCA